rnacentral:rRNA from 1 species
GAUGAACGCUGGCGGCGUGCCUAAUACAUGCAAGUCGAGCGAACAGACGAGGAGCUUGCUCCUCUGACGUUAGCGGCGGACGGGUGAGUAACACGUGGAUAACCUACCUAUAAGACUGGGAUAACUUCGGGAAACCGGAGCUAAUACCGGAUAAUAUAUUGAACCGCAUGGUUCAAUAGUGAAAGACGGUUUUGCUGUCACUUAUAGAUGGAUCCGCGCCGCAUUAGCUAGUUGGUAAGGUAACGGCUUACCAAGGCAACGAUGCCUAGCCGACCUGAGAGGGUGAUCGGCCGCACUGGAGCUGAGACACGGUCCAGCCGCCUACGGGAGGCAGCAGUACGAAAUCUUGCGCAAUGGGCGAAAGCCUGACGGAGCAACGCCGCGUGAGUGAUGAAGGUCUUCGGAGCGUAAAACUCUGUUAUUAGGGAAGAACAAAUGUGUAAGUAACUAUACACGUCUUGACGGUACCUAAGCAGAAAGCCACGGCUAACUACGU